rnacentral:lncRNA from 1 species
AACUUUAUAAUCUUCUUAUGUAUAGUGCGACGCAAUGCACAAUGCACACGCCGAUGCAAGCGGUUGCCGCCAGCGAAUGCAUGAAAAGUAAACAAAGCUAAACCUAGCAGGCAGCAAGUCAAUUAGAUUUAGGAGCAGAUUUAUCUGGCGGAUUGGGGCCUGACUUGGACCACACAGCCACCUCUGUGUGUGUGUGUAUGUGUGUG